CUCGCGGCGUAGCCUCUCCGUUCCUGCUGAAGCCUUCCCGCUACUUGUGUGUGCGAUCCUGUGAGGUCCUUGUGUGUACACUCUUGUUAGAGUUUGCGUGGUCACCCAUCCUCUGGGGUCUGCAAGUGGGCAGAAUUAGCCAAAAGUGGAACAUUUGACAAUGAGGAACAGGAAGAAGUACUUCCUUGGCCUGGAGAAGAAGAGAUGGUGCCGGGACUCCAGCGUCUGCAGGUGUUCCAACGUGACAGCAUGCCAGCCCGGAAGUCCUCCACCUUAGCCACCAUGACAAAGCUCUAUGAUGUCACGGAACAGAUGUGGUGAAUUUCAGUAACGGAGGUUCUUCCUUUAGCUUCCUUAAAACUGGUCAGCCUUGUGACUAAGAUCAGCUGGCACGUGUCUCAGGACUUCUCCACCCCGCCUUCUACAACAGCAAUCCCUGUAAGGUUCUGUCCGGACAAGCAUGGUGGACACUGAGCAUGUGCUGGAGAGCGUCCCUCAAGGGGGUCAGGGGUGAGGUGUAACAUGGUAAGCACAUGCCCCCUUGCCAGGCUUAACCAAACAAACCUUUGCCAAAACAUUGAACAGCCAUCCUUACUGCAGACCCAAAUCAAGCUGCACGCAUGUUACUCUCACAUGCUUUAAAUCACCACCAUCAUGAGCCUAACUGUGUAGUAAAUGAAGUUAACUUGAAGAGAGUAUUGGUCCAGUAAGCCCUGGAGGAUGAGGGAGGGUCCGUAAACUGGCAGGAGGCACCUCCAUUUGCUGCUCCAUUUGCACCGAUUCAGGACAGGAAUUUCAAAAGAUGCACCCAUAAAAUCUCACCAACGUGACUGCCUAAACAUGAGCUGAACAAGGACAACAACAUGAACAGGGGAUCCCAGGAGGCCUUGACCCUACAGAAAAAAACUACAGUAAUUAAAGAAUGCUGAGCUGGGAAGACCACACCAGUUGGUUAUCCAGUACCAAGUGGUCAGCCGUGAGAACAUCCAUACAAGCACCGUGGUACAGACUGAGUCGUAAUGAUGUACUUAGGAGUCUGUAUGUAUGUAUGUAACAACAAUUAAUGAAUAGAGAAGCCACGAAUUUGAAAGAGGGCAGAGAGAGGUAUGUCAGAGGGCUUAGACUCCCUCUUUACUCCGAGAGAGA